AACAGUUUUAUUAUUAUAUCAACAUUUUGUUCGUAUUUCCAUUUCAAUCACCCUGUUUAUAACUUUUCUAUUCUGUGGUAGUCACCUUUUGUAACCUUCACAUUCGUUUAUUUCCGUACCUGCCCGUUUCUAAUGUUUUAUAUUUCUAUUAUUGGUCUAAAAGCCAAUUUCCGCUUUAGAUAACCUAUGUAAUUUGAUACCGUAACCAUAUAUGGUAUUGUAAGCUUCGAUUGACCGCGUUAUUGGUUGGAGCAAAACUUCGUUGUUUCAUUGGGGCCGGAAAUGGAAAAAUUCAGCGUGUUUUACUUGCUAACCCGAAGAGAACGGUCGUGCGGUUCAUCCUGAUUUAAGUGCUAAUUUAGUUCCUGUUUUGGCGAAAGCAUCUUUAAAAACAAGUGAACCAUCAUUGUACCUGCCAUUUCUUUUUGGGCAUGGUAACCAUUUAAUCCGAAAGGAGUUCUUCUAAAGGAACGUAAGCAUAAUUGGGACCAUUCUGACAACGAUCGUAGGAUAACUUCCAUUCACUUUCGUACGUUCACGAAGCUCUUUUAUUUUCCGUUGACUCUCUCCAUGUAGAGAGUUCACGUAUUGGGGUCAAGAACUACGAUCCGACUGUUUACCUGUGAAACGAAACUAUAGACCACAUUGUGUUGCGGAUAAGGGGGCAUAGGAAAGUAAAUCGACUAAGUACUGGAGUGCAGUGUGUACGAUCUAGCAUCAAACCAUUGAAAUAACUUAAUGGCCGAGUCGUACAUAUCUUGAAGCCGCUACCUUACUUCCGACACUUUGUGUAACACUUAGAGCAGCAUUUGUCAUUCAACGUGCAACCAUAUACCAGGACCUGUGGAAAAGAAGACCUAAAUAUUGAUCGUACGGUGAUGUAGCAUUGUUAAACCUUUUUGUAAAUUUGUGUGUUUGCAUUUGACCCACCUCGGUGGUGAUCAAUUGCUAAUUGGCCUGCAUAGAGUCAAGAUUAUUACUGUUAAUUGGUAAGCUUGACAUUUUUGGGGUACAAUAUUUUAGCUAGUCAAAAGAUUACUCUCGUUAUGGGGUGAUAACAAUUUAUGUAAGGUACGAACGAGCUCGUAAGAACCGAAUAAUUUCAUUGCCGACUCAAGCUAUAAAUUAAGGUAUCUAUUUUCAAUUUAAUUCAUUAUUUUGCCACUGCAACGAUAUUUGGGUGUUAACUCCAGAGAUUCUGGUGUAUUUUAUUCAACAUUUUAUGGGAAAUUUUAUGUAAACCCCUUCUUUUGUUAACUUUGGGAGGGUUCAUAUUUUGAGUUGCUGCUUACCUUAAAUAAGAUUAUGAAUUCCCAGUGGGGAAUCUAAGUUGUGCAAUUUUGAAUUUAUUUCAUGGUGCAGUGCACCGAAUAAAACUUUUUAUUUGUGGGUCA